UGGGGAAUAGUAUAAUAGAUUACUUGGCGCUUACAACGUCAGAAUAGAGGGUAAAACUCUUUCUCCUA
rnacentral:tRNA from 1 species